rnacentral:rRNA from 1 species
UGUACUUAAUUGUAUGGGAUAUCACCUAGCCAGUGGAACUUUAGUAGAAUAAUGCCUUUUUUAAUACCAGAGUGUAAAACUUGAAGUGUUAAAUUGGGGUAACAUUAUUUUAUUGAAGUGGGGUUCUAGUUAAUUUACUUUGAGUAAAUUAGAGUGUUCAAAGCAGCCUCUUGGGGCUUUGAAUAGAUUUAGCAUGGGAUAAUAGAAAAGGAUUUGAUAAUCUAUUUGUUGGUUUGAAUUAAUCAAAUAAUGAUUAAUAGGGACAGUUGGGGGCAUUCAUAUUAAGUGGUUAGCGGUGAAAUGUGUGGACCCACUUAAGAUGAACUAAAGCGAAAGCAUUUGCCAAGGAUGUUUUCAUUAAAUCAAGAACGAAAGUUAAGGGAUCGAAGACGAUUAGAUACCGUCGUAGUCUUGACUGUAAACUAUGCCGACCAGGGAU